CCUACGGGAGGCAGCAGUAGGGAAUAUUGCUCAAUGGCGGAAACCCUGAAGCAGCAACGCCGCGUGGAGGAUGAAGGUUUUCGGAUUGUAAACUCCUUUUGUUAGAGAAGAUAAUGACGGUAUCUAACGAAUAAGCACCGGCUAACUCCGUGCAAGCAGCAGCGGUAAUACGGAGGGUGCAAGCGUUACUCGGAAUCCCUGGGCGUAAAGAGCGCGUAGGCGGGAUAGCAAGUCAGAUGUGAAAUCCUAGGGCUUAACCAUAGAACUGCAUUUGAAACUGUUAUUCUAGAGUAUGGGAGAGGUAGGUGGAAUGCUCAGUGUAGGGGUAAAAUCCGUAGAGAUCAAGAGGAAUACUCAUUGCGAAGGCGACCUGCUAGAACAUAACUGACGCUGAUGCGCGAAAGCGUGGGGAGCAAACAGGAUUAGAUACCCCUGUAGUC
rnacentral:rRNA from 1 species